rnacentral:rRNA from 1 species
UGCUUCUUGCAUCUCCAUAAGAAGUAAUUCCUGCCCAGUGACUAACGUUCAACGGCCGCGGUAUCCUAACCGUGCAAAGGUAGCAUAAUCACUUGCCCAUUAAUUGUGGGCUAGAAUGAAUGGACUAACGAAAUAAAAACUGUCUCUAUAAGCCCAAUAAAAAUUAAUCUCUAACUGAAGAUUGUUAGAUAUCGUUGAAGGACAAGAAGACCCUAUAGAGCUUCAUUUUAAUAAAAACUAAUAUUUUAAUAAAAUUCGGUUGGGGCGACCGGGGAAGACCAAUCAUCCCCUACAAAAAGAUUAAUUAAUCUUCUCUAUGACCCUUAAUUAAGAUCACCAGAAUAAGCUACCUUAGGGAUAACAGGCUAAUCCCACUAAAGAGUCCUUAUCAAUAGUGGGGGUUGGCACCUCGAUGUUGGCUUAGGGAAUCUAUACGGCGCAAAAGUCAUAUAAAGAUGGUUUGUUCAA